rnacentral:rRNA from 1 species
GACAGAGGUGCCAAGCGUUAGGCGGAAUCACUGGGCGUAAAGCGUCUGUAGGUGGUUUAAAAAGUCUAUUGUUAAAAAUUGAAGCUUAACUUCAAAGAUGCAAUGGAAACUUUUAAACUUGAGUAUGGUAGGGGUAGAGGGAAUUUCCAGUGGAGCGGUGAAAUGCGUAGAUAUUGGAAAGACCACCAAUGGCGAAGGCACUCUACUGGGCCAUUACUGACACUGAGAGACGAAAGCUAGGGGAGCAAACAGG